GAUGGCGACGGUUCUCUUUCUAA
rnacentral:miRNA from 1 species